rnacentral:lncRNA from 1 species
GAAAAGCAGUUAUAUCCUUCAAUCUAGCCUAAAAAACUGGAUGUGAUUAGAUUACGUGCAGCCAGGGCGCCGCUGGACUCUGAAGUCUGGAUCGCUGAUCCCUCAAUGUCGCUGCCACCAGGAUGCCCCUGUACGUAAUAGUUUGUCAAUCGCUGAUCCUUCGAGUCUUCAGGUUCUGCAUCGCCGGCCGUCCCUGCCUGCCCGUCAUCUGUCGCUUCUCAUUCUUCGUCGCCUGUCGCUUCCCGUUCUCCGUCGCCGUCGUAAUAGGGACUAGGGCAGUGGUCUGAAACUUCAGAGUUCAGUUCGUGCUUCAUCGGCUGAUCGGCAUGAUGCCAUGAUAUAUACAUCAACAAAUCAAAACUUCAACUCGCAAUCAAGGUACGUCGACACGUCGUCGCAGACACACUGUUAAUCUUGUUGAAUUAGUGCCGUUUUCAUGAAGAUAGUUUAAUUUACUGUUCCACUUACUGAAGGAUGAAGAGGAAGAAGAAUACAACAAAAAUAGAUUCGUUUUUCAAGCCUAUUGCUUCUACCUCUAAUGCAGCUGAAACUGCAAAUCCACCAGAGGAGCAACCUGUUAUAGAUGAUAAUUCCAGCCCCAGUUCAGUUGAUUGCCUCGCCCCCCUCAUGUUCAAAUCCUGGCUCCGCCCCUG